GGGAACUCUCUUCUCUCCUCUUUCUGUCCAAGCGUUUGUGUGCUCUCUCCCUCUCUCCUCAGUGGAUGAUCUCUGAGUGGCUCUGUCAGGGUCCUGAAAGGGUCUUGUAGUGUCUGGUAGGGGCCGGUCCCUCCCUCCCUCUAAUCCUCCUGAAUCCACCCUGAUCUUCUGGGUGUGUUAUCAGCCCCAGCAGACAGCCGGAAGGGUCCGCUUCUCUCACCGCCGUCCCAGACACAUCCACCUGCUCUGCACACAGACAACGUGCUCACACAGUGUGUGUGUUUAUGCAUGCGUGCCGGGGGUCGACAUAACACUCAGACGCAAUCCCUGAGGGGGAGUGACUAGGUCGUUACAUUGUUGUUAGGUUCCAAUCAACCCAAGAUGAUGAAUCCUGAAGAUGGGACAAAGUGCAUGACAAGGUGACCCAGAGGAAGCCAGCUGGUUGACCUCUAGUGAGGGGCGAGAAGAGCUGACCAAUCAGAACUGAGGAGGAUUGUUACUGAACCCCAUGAGGAACACCUGAUGCUGCGUUGACUUCUCUCUCCUGGAUCCUGGCUGCUCCCCCUAUGGACAC